GGCUCUGUGGCGGAAUUGGUAGACGCGUGCGAUUCAAAAUCGUAUUCCACUGGAGUGCCGGUUCGAUUCCGGCCAGGGCUACCA
rnacentral:tRNA from 3 species